UACGUAGGGUGCAAGCGUUGUCCGGAAUUAUUGGGCGUAAAGAGCUCGUAGGCGGUCUGUCACGUCGGCUGUGAAAACCCGAGGCUCAACCUCGGGCCUGCAGCCGAUACGGGCAGACUAGAGUUCGGCAGGGGAGACUGGAAUUCCUGGUGUAGCGGUGAAAUGCGCAGAUAUCAGGAGGAACACCGGUGGCGAAGGCGGGGUCUCUGGGCCGAGUAACUGAC
rnacentral:rRNA from 1 species